GAUAUCCUACGGGGGGCAGCAGUAGGGAAUCUUCCACGAUGGACGAAAGUCUGAUGGAGCAACGCCGCGUGAGUGAAGAAGGGUUUCGGCUCGUAAAGCUCUGUUGGUAGUGAAGAAAGAUAGAGGUAGUAACUGGCCUUUAUUUGACGGUAAUUACUUAGAAAGUCACGGCUAACUACGUGCCAGCAGCCGCGGGAAUACGUAGGUGGCAAGCGUUAUCCGGAUUUAUUGGGCGUAAAGG
rnacentral:rRNA from 1 species